GACGAACGCUGGCGGCGUGCUUAACACAUGCAAGUCGAACGGAAAGGCCCUGCUUUUGUGGGGUGCUCGAGUGGCGAACGGGUGAGUAACAUGUGAGUAACCUGCCCUUGACUUUGGGAUAACUUCAGGAAACUGGGGCUAAUACCGGAUAGGAGCUCCUGCUGCAUGGUGGGGGUUGGAAAGUUUCGGCGGUUGGGGAUGGACUCGCGGCUUAUCAGCUUGUUGGUGGGGUAGUGGCUUACCAAGGCUUUGACGGGUAGCCGGCCUGAGGGGGUGACCGGCCACAUUGGGACUGAGAUACGGCCCAGACUCCUACGGGAGGCAGCAGUGGGGAAUAUUGCACAAUGGGCGGAAGCCUGAUGCAGCAACGCCGCGUGUGGGAUGACGGCCUUCGGGUUGUAAACCGCUUUCGCCUGUGACGAAGCGUGAGUGACGGUAAUGGGUAAAGAAGCACCGGCUAACUACGUG
rnacentral:rRNA from 1 species